CGCGUAGGCGGUCCCGCACGUCGGAGGUGAAAUCCCCGGGCUCAACCCGGGAGCUGCCUCCGAUACGGCAGGGCUUGAGUCCGGGAGAGGGGAGCAGAAUUCCCAGUGUAGCGGUGAAAUGCGUAGAUAUUGGGAGGAAUACCGGUGGCGAAGGCGGCUCCCUGGACCGGUACUGACGCUGAGGCGCGAAAGCGUGGGUAGCAAACAGGAUUAGAUACCCUGGUAGUCCACGCCGUAAACGAUGGGUGCUUGGUGUCGGGGGUAUCGACCCCUCCGGUGCCGAAGCUAACGCAUUAAGCACCCCGCCUGGGGAGUACGGUCGCAAGGCUGAA
rnacentral:rRNA from 1 species